rnacentral:rRNA from 1 species
GUGAGGAAUAUUGCGCAAUGGACGAAAGUCUGACGCAGCCAUGCCGCGUGAAGGAUUGACGGCCCUAUGGGUUGUAAACUUCUUUUGUAUAGGAAUAAACCCUCGUUCGUGAACGAGGCUGAAGGUACUAUAAGAAUAAGCACCGGCUAACUCCGUGCCAGCAGCCGCGGUAAUACGGAGGGUGCAAGCGUUAUCCGGAUUUAUUGGGUUUAAAGGGUCCGUAGGCGGAUCGUUAAGUCAGUGGUGAAAUCCUACCGCUCAACGGUAGAACUGCCAUUGAUACUGGCGAUCUUGAGUAUGUAUGAAGUUGGCGGAAUGUGUGGUGUAGCGGUGAAAUGCUUAGAUAUCACACAGAACACCGAUUGCGAAGGCAGCUGACUAAUACACAACUGACGCUGAGGGACGAAAGUGUGGGGAUCAAACAGGAUUAGAAACCCUUGUAGUCC